CUACCACGCGAGUGGAUGCCAAUCCCAAAAACCUCUCUCAGUUCGGACUGGAGUCUGCAACCCGACUCCACGAAGCUGGAUUCGCUAGUAAUCGCGCAUCAGCCACGGCGCGGUGAAUACGUUCCCGGGCCUUGUACACACCGCCCGUCACACCAUGGGAGUUGGAAGCACCCGAAGUCGGUGACCUGACCGUAAGGAGGGAGCCGCCGAAAGUGAAGCCAGCGACUGGGGUGAAGUCGUAACAAGGUAAC
rnacentral:rRNA from 1 species